AUAGUUGCAAAGCCCUUUCUCUUCGUUUCAAACUGCUUUCGACGAAAAUCGAUCAUAGAGAAGUCUACCUUGUAGACCUCUCUCUCAAAUUCGAUUCCCAUUUAUCGUUUACCAACAUCAAUUAUGCGUCUCUCUCGUAGUCCUACCCCCUUUGUUCUCCUCUUUCUCGUUGUUGUUGCACCAGCGGUAUCGGCUGAUGUAGCUAUCUUGAGAACGGAUUAUUACCAAAAAACAUGCCCCGACUUCAACAAAAUCGUGCGUGAAGCCGUUUUAACCAAGCAAUCUCAACAGCCGACAACUGCUGCCGGAACACUCCGUCUCUUCUUUC
rnacentral:lncRNA from 1 species